rnacentral:rRNA from 1 species
CCUACGGGAGCAGCAGUGGGGAAUAUUGGACAAUGGGGGCAACCCUGAUCCAGCCAUGCCGCGUGUGUGAAGAAGGCCCUCGGGUUGUAAAGCACUUUCAGUGAGGAAGAACGCCUGGUGGUUAAUACCCAUCAGGAAAGACAUCACUCACAGAAGAAGCACCGGCUAACUCCGUGCCAGCAGCCGCGGUAAUACGGAGGGUGCGAGCGUUAAUCGGAAUUACUGGGCGUAAAGCGCGCGUAGGUGGCUUGAUAAGCCGGUUGUGAAAGCCCCGGGCUCAACCUGGGAACGGCAUCCGGAACUGUCAAGCUAGAGUGCAGGAGAGGAAGGUAGAAUUCCCGGUGUAGCGGUGAAAUGCGUAGAGAUCGGGAGGAAUACCAGUGGCGAAGGCGGCCUUCUGGACUGACACUGACACUGAGGUGCGAAAGCGUGGGUAGCAAACAGGAUUAGAUACCCGAGUAGUC